CAUUUAGAGGUGGAAGCUUGGGAACAGAAAACGUGCCUGAUGAGUGAAUGGAUGUAGCCACCUCGUAUUUCAUGAAGACAUUCGUGUCCAUUAAGUAUCACCUUUGACCCCCUGACUGGCGACCUCUGGCAGGGACCUUCAGCUCUAGUCGAGAGCCCAGCAGGCAGAGAGCGGUCCCGGCCGCGCCUCAGCGAUGUGUCCUCUGCUGUCCUUAAAGUCGACACGGAGCCCCUCGGAGGUCCUGGCUGGAGACCAGCUGUGCUCCCCCGGUGCCCCUGGGGUCUCGUGUGGCCUCUUUGCUCGGCCCGUGCUGUCCCCUGGAGGUUCACCAGCGUGCUCCCACACUGUCCUCAGGCCUUUACUCAAAUACUCUCAUCUCAGAAACGUCUCCACCGAGCAGCUCUCAUUUGAAGAUACGACGUGACCGUGACAGAGAAGGUGUGUGCCCUCGGGACCUCGGGGCAGGUAACAGCCAAGGCAAGGAGGAGACCAAGGCAUUUUGCCUGAGGGUAAGUGCUCUGAUGAUGGGGUGAAGGGUGACGUGCUGGGGGCACAGUCCAGAAGGCUCUGUGUUGUUCAGGGAGUUGGAGGGAGGCCUCUCCUAGCCGUGACAUGUGAGCGAGGACCUGCCUGGGGAACACGUGACCUCUGGGAACAGGGAAGGGGAGCUGGGCUUGGAGACAGGCAAGUGGGGUGCUUUUGAGGGGCAGAACAGCUGUGUGCUCAAGCCAGCAGUGCCCGGGGACCCAGGGGGGACAGAGGAGGCGGAGGGGCGGCUGGCCCAGGAGUGAAGAGCAGGCUGUCACUCUUAGGGGGCGGGCGGAGCCCCACCGGAUGGUGGCUCUCACUGGGGGGCCGUGUGGAGGGCGCAGGGGCGCAGGCGGGCCUGGCGGUGGCCCAGGGAGGGAGGCAGUGAGGGACAGGCGGCCUGCGUUGUGUUUUGCUGGUGGAUUAUGUGACAACGAGAGGACGUGGCGGUGUUGGAGGCUCGCUCACAGGCUGGUAACGCAGCAGUGGGCACAGGCCCUGAUGACCAAUGGCCACUGUGAUCGCGCCAUUCCGGAACCCCUUUCCCAGGCCUGGGGGGUUGGUAAGGGAAGGGCUGGGCUGCACCGAGGCUGCCUUAGGUGCAGAAAGCAAGUACGGACAAGCCCAGAGUAGCCUGACGGGGCCUCAAGCAGUGACCCUGGAGGAGGUACCUAUGACGACCAGGCCGCCGCACCCUAACUGCUCUUGGAGACCUCAGACCGGGCUGCUGUGUUCACCCCCCACCCGCUUCCUGGGGAAUGGGGCGAGGCCCUCCACCCAGACCAGCCCUUGUAACCUUGGACACACGGUAUAACCGGAGCCGGCUUGCUUGUGUGGGGGCGGCUGUGGUGUGGGCCCGGGGCCAGAGGACCGAGCAGCACGUCCACUCUGGUGGCCGGUGGCCGGCUGAGCUGGGUGACAGCACUCUGCAAAUCGGCGGGAGUCACGAACCCAACAGAGCCCUCAGCUGGGUGGUCAUCUCUGCCACAGCACCUGCGGAGGCCGGGCUGGCCACCGUGUCCCUGGUCUGGUCUGCACAGAUGGGCUCCCCGGGAGGGCAGAUUGAUGAGAUUAGAGUGUGUGUGUGUCCUGGGAACCCUGGGAGCCUCACUGGAAACAUAACCUGGGGGAAUGGAGGCGGGUGGGGAGCUGGUAAAACUGCCUUUUCUGGUUUCAUUCCCCACGGCCCUUUCUCUGGAGGAACAGGCCCUGCUGAGCCCAUAAGGGGCUUGUGGGGGCUUUGGGAGGACCCGGCACCCUAGAGGCGAGUGGAGCCCUGAGUGUGUGGUCAGUGGCAUGGGGGCGCGGCAGGCCUGACCGGGAGCCCCCGAUGUACCUGGCCACCACCGGGGGACAGGUUUGCAUGAGGUAACAAACACCUGUGGAGCACCGACGUGUGUGCCAGACCAGGCGGGAUCAGGCAGCUUCUGUCCUUGUGGCCUAGACUCCGGUGACACGAGGCGUGGACACAAAUUCCUACACAACGCCCCCCACCCCCCAUCGCUCCCUCUCCUUUCUCCCUUGUCCGUCCUUCUCUCCGUCCAUCUGACCGUGAGAGCCCAAACCACGCGGCUUCCUCGUUGUCGGCUGAUGCGCCAGCCUCGGCCACCACCAGUAGUCGGGGACUGUGUCCCGGGCACCGUUGUGCGCUCAGCACUUCGCACCGUGACUGGCACCGAGGAGAGGCUCAGUUAAAGUCUGUCGGACAAAUAAAUACACGCACGGCUGACUGUGCUACCACACGGGCCGCGACCGGCCGCAGAGAGGGCUGGGGUCUCGCCGCUCGCUGCAAAGCCUCAGCGCCUCGGGCACAGCGCCCGCUCUGUAGACAUUCAUUUAAACAUGAACAACCAGUGAAGAAUGAAUGAAUGACCAGAGCUAUGGGGGUUCAAGGCAGGGAGCAAUGGGGUACUCCGGGGAAAGGGGUGCAGAGCAGAGAAUCGACUGGCUCCCGAGAAAGCCCCUACGGCGGUGGCCUGAUAGACACUGUGCAGACUCGCUGUGGACAAGAACACCUUGGAGGGCAUUAGGGACACCACGGCAGAGGUGUCCCUGUCACGGUGGCUUGUGGAACUGGGGUCACCGGGACAAAAGCUUCUAAUGCUUGAAGUGAGGAAGCACCAGAAAUUGCCAAGAGGAGCCUGAGGAGACGAGGUGACAGUUCCCUGUGGUCCCUGGAUGGGACCCUGGGACAGAAGAGGACACGGGGGAGAGACCAAGCCCGCCCUGGACUUCAGUUAAUGACCCGUGACCAGUGUGCCAUGUGGGUGUCAGAUGCUGGUAACAGACACUGGGUGUGGGGUGCGUGCUGUCGGGGCCCAGGCAGGGCCCUCGACGUCGCCGGUGGCAUGUUGAUCAUUCUGACUGAAGUUGUCUGAGAAGCAGCGGGUGCAGGAGGGGCUUGGUGCCCCCCCCCUUGUUCCCUUGGAUGCAGAACAAAAACCUGUGGAAGAAAGGUGUCCUCCUUGCCGGGGGUGGUGAAGUGACAGCCUUGUCACCAGAGUUAAAGAAGUCAGGGCCAAAAAGCCUAAUCAAGCAGACCUUGUUAUUUUUUACUAAAUAUUUACAAAAUUGGGGUACCCACACCCAGUAAAUAUGGGGGGUGGUGUAGAGUCCUGGCUGCGGCCCCACAGGGGACGGCCUGCGAGGUGACACUCACGCUGAGCCCCCCGCUCGCCCCUCUGAGGCUCCCCUGGGCCUGCACUGCCACCAGCAUGGCCCUGUCACCGUCCUGCCCCCACGAGAAACGUCUCCCACCCCUGACUCUGACUUAGCGUGCUCUCAGGAGACCCUGCUCCAUGUCACGCUGCGUCAGCGCUGUCAGCACAGCCCAUUUGUCCAUUUCUGGCUGCCCAGCAGCCGUCAGAAGCUGUGCCGAGAGGACCCCAUGGGAGCAUGUGUGCUGACCUCCCUGCGAGAGGUCAGCUCAGCCCCUUCUGGGGACUCUGCUUCAAGACGAGGGACAAGGAGGUGGCCGGGAGCCCCUGGGUGUGCGGUCUGGAGCUCAGCAGACACCCUGGGUUGGGGUCUUAGCUGGUAGCUGAGGGGGUGUGCAUGGCAGGGCCGCCAGGGGAUGGGUUCGGACAGGGUUGUGAGGGCUCAAGAGAAGGAAGGACUGCCGGCGAGGGACGGUCUGCUCCAGGAGGGCUGGGGCACACUGCCUCCUGGGGUCAGGUGGGCAGGGUUUCAGGGGAAGGGGGGGGUCUCAGGUCCCAGCCAGGCCCACGUCGUGUUCCCACACGGCAUACAGCCUGCGAUCAGUUUUUGCUGCCGUCUGGGCGACUGGAGACACACUUCCCAGCUGGUUUAUGCCUUGAUCUAGUCACCUGUAAAAUGGUGGCCACCCACCUGUAAAACAGGUCAUUCCACCUCUGUGAGGAUCAAAUGAGGUCACACCACGCCCGCGAAGGGCCGAUGCCGGCAUCACAGUCAUGACACUUAUCACAUGAGACCUGGCCUCCCUGUUCUGCCCGUUGCUCCCCUGUAACUGUUAACAGCAGUCCCCCGGCUUGGAUAAUACAUGAUACAGGGAGCCUGGCUGGCCCGCCCCACCAGUGCACACGCCCCCCAGGCAGCCUCGAGGCCCCUCGGGUGCUGUCACCAUCCUGGUCAUCGUCUUCACUUUGGAGGUGCUUGUUGUCUGCCGCACCCGGGCGCCUUGCCUUCCGAGGACGAGGUGUCCUUCGAGGUGUGAAACAGCAGGUCGGCCCUGGUUUGGCGGCUGCCAGUCUCGGCUGAGGGCGCCGUCCGUCUCCCCGGUGGGUCUGUGCCCUCCUUGCCCGCAGUUCCCAGGUGGAGGUGGGAGCCGAGGGCGCCCCAGCCGUCGCUAAACGGUGCAGCUGGGCUUUGGGGCCGGACUUGCCUGAGGCCCCUGGAGGAACCACUGGCUGCAGACAGUGUGGAGGAGGUCAGGGCAGGGAGCGCUAAGAGGGGUUCAGACAGGCGUCAGCCAUCCACAAGCACGGACUGAGUGCUUCCUCUCUGCCAGGUGGGGGGACACCAACGCCAAAGAGACCUGGUCCCAGCCCUCAGGGAGCGCGGCCUGGGUGGAGAAGUCCAGCGACCAGGUCACUGCAGAACCUGGGAGCCAAAUUCCAUGCAGUGGGAGGUAACGAACGGCACGAUUAGCUCUGCUGUGUAUAAAACAAACAUAUCGAUCGAGAGACUGCCCUGUGCCAGGCCCAGUGACAGCUGCUGGCUGCAGCCCAGGAGAGGGCAGAGGGGGCAGAGGGGAUGGCCUGCCCCUUGGAGUGGAGGCCUGGGCGCUGUGUCACCCAGGGCAGGGGUUGGGGGUGCGGAUGGGGCACCGGGCUUGGAGCAGUAGGCCGGGCCCCAGGCCCAGAAAGGGGUUUGCAUCCCACCCGGCAGCGGGAGGCCUGCCCAGCCUUUGCGGCACGAAGACCCUUUUUUCACAGUUUAAAACUUCUGAGGACCCUCCAUAUGCUAGGAAGUUGGCGUUCAGUGUCUUCGUACUGAGCAAAUACGUGUGCACUUGCGGGCUCUCUCCAGGUGCCCACGUGUCUCCUGCAGCCCUGACGUGUCUAUGUCUGUCCCCUCGGAGGUCCUGCCCCACCCACAACAGCCAGAGGGUCUCCCAACCUGCACGUUUGCUGCUGUCUGUCCCCCCCUUAAGCCUUUGACAACUUUCCUUUGUCUCUAGGGUCAAGUCCAAGCUCUGUGACCCAGCUCAGCAGGCCGUGCCUGAUCUGAAAGACCCCCGUCUCCCGCCUCCUCUGGGUCCUGGCACUUUGUCCUUCUGUUCUGGUCACACAGACAGGCCUGUGCCGACUGACAGACCAUGGCGGGGGGGCGUCGGCUUGGUGUCCCUAAUUCUGCCUCUGACUGAGCUGCUCUCUCUGGCACCUGCUUCAAGGUGUGAUGGUGCCAGGGAGUAGGGAGGUCUAGCCAACUUUGACAGAUGUCCCCAGAAGUGUCCAGGGCCCCAAGUUUAUACACAUCCCUACAGAAAAUGCAGGGGAGAUGGCGGGGCGUCCUUGUGUGCCUGUAAUGCUGUGCCCCUCUCCUGCCCCUGUCCCCAAAGUGUGGGGCGUCCUGGCCCCCUGCUCCUGUCUCAGGAGGGCCUGGGCCGAGGUGGGUGAGGCGGUGCCAGCGCUGGCCUCCUGGACGCGCGUUGAGCUCCGUGGGGGGUCUGUCUGCACUGGGGAUGGUGAGGAGGCUGAACCCCAGGCCUGGCCAUGCCGCACAGAGACCCAUCUCCCCUUGGGCAUUGGCUUCGAAGUCUUGAGGGUGGCUUGGUCCUGGGCAAGGGAGAGGUGACUUCUCAGGGCAGGGUGGACCAAGGCACCCUUCUCCAUGGCAAGCGUCUCGCCCUCACUGAAGGGUGUUGUGGACGGGAUAUUCUCAGAGGAGGCCUGACGUGGGGGCCCAGGGGGGUUAGCACCUGUCCCUUAACAGGUGAGUGAGGCCAGUGGGCCCCUGGGCUGCGUUGUUUAGCUCUCACCCUGACCCAGGUGGCUUGAUGGAGGUUCAGCCCGUCAGACGGUGUUGAGGGGCCCCGGGGGGCUGGGAGAGUGGGCCUUGGUGGUAAAGGGGGGGCAGUCUCCUUCCCCACGCCAGGCUGCAGACCUGGCACUGGGCUCCUAGCAGCCUGGAAAGCUGUUAUUCUAGAACCUGAUAAGUGCCUGGGCUGGGCGAAGAUAAGAGGCAGCUGUUUGAAGUCCAGGGAGAUACAGCUUCAGGAAAGCUGAUAAGAGCGGUGGGAUGCACUGAGCAAGCUCGCCAGUCUCAGUCACUCUGCCCCCAAGUCAGGUUUCCAGCACAGCAAGGAGCCUGUGUCACAGUCCCCUGACGGGCAGCCUGCGUCUCUCCUGAGCUCCCGGGGGGCCUCGGCUCUGGUCCUACAGCGUGGCUCUCCGGCUGGCGUAGCCAUUCAGCCUCAUUUCUCUGCUUUGGUCCCAAACGCAUUCGCUCACGGACUCACGCCUCCUCCCUGUGUCUGCAGGGCCCAGGUCACACCACGGCCCAGCCUGGGGCUCUGUUCUUACGUGCUCUGCUGCUGGCCCGCUGGUCUGCUGGCCCUGGCCCCCCGUGGGUCCCUCGAGUAUCUCAUCUGGGAGUCGCCCAGAAUUCCCGACCCUGUGCCCCAGUCAGGGGCAGAGGAGUGGAGCGCCUGCCACACCAGCCUGGCUGCAGGGCAGCACGGAGACCCCCUCCAUCCCAUACCGGUUCUCCUGCGUGCUGUUUGGGCGUGUUUCUGAUGGAAUCCCAGUGCACUGGUUGCCUGUUUGUUCAAAUCCCCAUGUCAGCUCUUAUCUCGUCCAUCUCUGUUUGAUUGUAAGCUUCCUCAGGGGAGGGACUGGGUCUCCAGGACAUUUUAAUUAACGGUCACCUUGGAGAAGGUCAUAAAUCCCAGUGAGUGGCUGCCGGCAGGGAGACAAGUCACACAGAGCACACAGGAGGGACCCGCCCCUGUGGCGGCUGUACCGCUAAGCCUGCUAGAGACCGCCCCUCCCCGAGCCUCAGUUUCCCCAACUGUGAAAUGAUGUGGACUGGGCUAGGUGGGCGGUCCUUCCGUGAUUCUGAAAUACCGACAAAAUCUAUGAUCUCCCUGGAAUAAAGAAAGCCGUGCACGCGAUUGGGCGAGUGUGGUCACAGGCCCCUGGCUCUGUCCCUCAGGCCCCUUCCAGUUCUGAUCAUGUGGUCGCUGUGCUCUGAUUGUAACGCUGGCCCAGGAGGCACCAGCCUUGGAGGAGGGCUG